UGAUAAUGGACUAAGCCUCUAAAACUGUCAUAAGAGUUGCCUUGGUCAUGGUAUCUCUUUUAGCAACAGAAGAGUGACUAAGAAAGUGUUCCCAAGAAAGAGUGACUCAAGGGUUCAGGGAGGAGCACUUAGAAGAUGGAGGCAGAAGUGUCUGGAGUUCAAGGUUAUCCUCAACUACACAAUGAAUUUGGAGCCAGUGCAGGCUACAAGAGACCUUGUCUCAAAGAAGUGAGGAGGUGGGAAGCUCUAUCUCCAUCACUCAUGACUGCACCCAGAGACAGGGGAGGAGGGCUGGGUAAGAUGAUGAUAGCUGCUCAACUCAAGGUGUGUGAGAACUAAAGUGCCAGGUAGAGGGCUUCUUGGUGAGCAGGAAGACAUGAAGGAGACCUUACUGCCCAGCUAGAAAGACAUUUCCAGGAGGCACCAGUGUCCGUCAGGAGGGAUCUAGAGGAGCAGGUUGCAUCACGAGGAGGAGCUGACUACUGAAGGGAAG
rnacentral:lncRNA from 1 species